rnacentral:rRNA from 1 species
GAUUCUGGCUCAGAUUGAACGCUGGCGGCGUGCUUAACACAUGCAAGCGAACGCGAAAGGGACUUCGGUCCUGAGUAAAGUGGCGCACGGGUGAGUAACGCGUGGAUAAUCUGCCCUUAUGAUCGGGAUAACAGUUGGAAACGGCUGCUAAUACCGGAUACGCUCAAAAUGAACUUUUUGAGGAAAGAUGGCCUCUGCUUGCAUGCUAUCACGUAAGGAUGAGUCCGCGUCCCAUUAGCUUGUUGGCGGGUAACGGCCCACCAAGGCAACGAUGGGUAGCCGAUUUGAGAGGAUGAUCGGCCACACUGGAACUGAAACACGGUCCAGACUCCUACGGGAGGCAGCAGUGGGGAAUAUUGCGCAAUGGGCGAAAGCCUGACGCAGCGACGCCGCGUGAGGGAUGAAGGUUUUCGGAUCGUAAACCUCUGUCAGAAGGGAAGAAACUACGUUGUGCUAAUCAGCAGCGUACUGACGGUACCUUCAAAGGAAGCACCGGCUAACUCCGUGCCAGCCGCCGC